rnacentral:rRNA from 1 species
GACGAGCGCUGGCGGCGCGCCUAACACAUGCAAGUCGAACGAGCGAGAGAGAGCUUGCUUUCUUGAGCGAGUGGCGAACGGGUGAGUAACGCGUGAGGAACCUGCCUCAAAGAGGGGGACAACAGUUGGAAACGACUGCUAAUACCGCAUAAGCCCACGACCCGGCAUCGGGUUGAGGGAAAAGGAGCAAUCCGCUUUGAGAUGGCCUCGCGUCCGAUUAGCUAGUUGGUGAGGUAACGGCCCACCAAGGCGACGAUCGGUAGCCGGACUGAGAGGUUGAACGGCCACAUUGGGACUGAGACACGGCCCAGACUCCUACGGGAGGCAGCAGUGGGGAAUAUUGCACAAUGGGGGAAACCCUGAUGCAGCGACGCCGCGUGGAGGAAGAAGGUCUUCGGAUUGUAAACUCCUGUUGUUGAGGAAGAUAAUGACGGUACUCAACAAGGAAGUGACGGCUAACUACGUG